rnacentral:rRNA from 1 species
GAUGAACGCUGGCGGCGUGCCUAACACAUGCAAGUCGAGCGGAGUUAUGUAGAGGAAGUUUUCGGAUGGAAUCGGUGUAACUUAGUGGCGGACGGGUGAGUAACGCGUGGGAAACCUGCCCUGUACCGGGGGAUAACACUUAGAAAUAGGUGCUAAUACCGCAUAAGCGCACAGCUUCACAUGAGGCAGUGUGAAAAACUCCGGUGGUACAGGAUGGUCCCGCGUCUGAUUAGCCAGUUGGCAGGGUAACGGCCUACCAAAGCGACGAUCAGUAGCCGGCCUGAGAGGGUGACCGGCCACAUUGGGACUGAGACACGGCCCAA